rnacentral:rRNA from 1 species
UACGAAGGGGGCUAGCGUUGCUCGGAAUCACUGGGCGUAAAGCGCACGUAGGCGGAUUGCUAAGUCAGGGGUGAAAUCCUGGAGCUCAACUCCAGAACUGCCUUUGAUACUGAGAGGCUUGAGUCCGGGAGAGGUGAGUGGAACUGCGAGUGUAGAGGUGAAAUUCGUAGAUAUUCGCAAGAACACCAGUGGCGAAGGCGGCUCACUGGCCCGGUACUGACGCUGAGGUGCGAAAGCGUGGGUAGCGAACAGG